UCUGCACAUCAUUAAAGCUUGGAGUUGAGGCCGCUGGCUGGCCAGUGAGCUUCACAAACAUAGAUAAUGAGCUGCAUGAGGGGCAAAUCUUCCACCAACACCACAAGGGUCUCUGGUCCAAUGAGUGAAGUUUGACAGUAAUUCUUGCUACAAGU
ensembl:snoRNA SNORA62 Small nucleolar RNA SNORA62/SNORA6 family